UCUACAAAAGCAGGUGUUUUGAAUGGAAAGUUAAGAACACUUUUAUCAGGCAUCCUGUUGAACACCACUUCCUGUACCUUAUACCUGGUACAUACUGCAAUAUGAUGGCACAUCCCACUGUGACACCAGUGGUGCAAGUGUCUUUUUUAAUCAAGAAAAUUCCUAGAGCUAACCAAUUCAUACAGUUGAAACAUAGGGGAUCUGGACACAUUUGGACAGGAUGCUAAUCUUAGCCCACUUCUCAUUGCUGCUUAUUUGUGGAAGCCAAGGUAAAAUAAAUUCCUCAACAUUUUUACUUGAUGUGUUUUCAGUUUCUGGCAAAAAGAUGAUAAUCAAAUGUCCUCAAGCUAUAUAUUUAUAUCCACGGCCUACUAACUGAAGAAUUGUUGCCUUAAUUUAUGCCCUUUUCAUUAGAUUCAGUAACCUGUACCGACCUGCAGAAACAGCAUGAAGUCAUUCAUGCAGCAGUUGGAGAACCUUUAGUGUUGAACUGCACCUACAACUGCUCCUCUGGAUUUGUCUGUGGACACUGGGUAAAACUCCCAGACUGUCCUCAUUGUCCUAGGCCAAGGGAAACAAAAAAUGUCACAAAGAAUGGUGACCUCUGCACACUACCAUUGUAUUGUCCACAUCUGUCCAGGGAAGAUUUUCAGUACAACUAUACCUGCUUUUCUGAAGAUCAUGAAAGCCAACAGUUCCCAAGCAAGAUAGAGUGUCUGGUAUCACUGCAGGCACAAGCUUUGACCUAGUGCCCCGGACACAAUGGACACUACUGAUGAAUCGAUGACAGCGUUGGGUAACCAUGAGGACUCAAUAAUAGAUCACGAGAAAUUCACAGGCGUCAAGGUGUUGGCAACAGUGACCGUUAUUGUGGCUGCGGUGUUGGCAGCCGUGGCUGUCUCCUUUAUGUAUGAGCCGCAAUCGAUAUUGCAAAGGAAAACCUGCUGUUAUCUGUACAGGGUAGGAUUUUUUUCUUCAUACAAUGUGGUAUGUUUGCUAAGGCAUUUUAACACACUUUUCAUUGGCAAUUAAUAUGCGGACUCCAUAUGUGGAAUUUGUUUAUUGGUCUUUUAUCAGCACAACAUCAAGAGAAGGAUCAGGUAAAUAUUUGUUUAAUUUGACAAAAUUGCUAUCACAACCAGUUCACUCAAUGUUGUGAAUUGUAAUCCUAAUAGGUUACUUCAUAUCUUAUAGGUGCAUGCUCAACCAAUUGUGAGAGGGUGGCACUGCGAAUAACUCCGGCUGGUAAGCUAAUGGAAUGUACCAUUUAUUUCAGUUGCUAAGCUGGGUGUGUAAUAACAACAUCUACUGUACAAAACAUCGCAUUUCCUGUUUUGAGCUAGAUUGCCAGAGUGAUCAUGAGGUUCCUUACGCUGACAUCAUGAUUACUAUGCGAGGGGCCAGCACACCAGGGCUCACACAGAUCUCCUACAUGGCUUCGGGGGACCUUAGAGAGAGGUGGAGAGAAGAGGCAGGCCCUGGCCCCAGCACCAGCCCUGAAGCUAGAUCCCACCUGCAGGCCUCCCGCUCAGAAUUCUCAAGGAAGAUGAGCAAAACUCUGAGUAUGCUGUUAUCACCUACUCUUAACCAGUGGG